GCAUAUCAAUAAGCGGAGGAAAAGAAAAUAACAAUGAUUCCUCUAGUAACUGCGAGUGAAGAGGGAAAAGCUCAAAUUUUAAAUCUGUUAGGUUUACCUAACCGAGUUGUAAUUUGAAGAAGCGUUUUCUGCGAAUUUGGUUAGUCCAAAUCCUUUGGAAUAAGGUAUCAUGGAGGGUGAGAAUCCCGUUCGGUUAACCAAAGCGCUUUACGAUACGCUUUCAAAGAGUCAAGUUGUUUGGGAUUGCAGCUUAAAAUGGGAGGUAAAUUUCUCCUAAGGCUAAAUAUUGGCGAGAGACCGAUAGCGAACAAGUACCGUGAGGGAAAGAUGAAAAGAACUUUGAAAAGAGAGUUAAACAGUACGUGAAAUUGUUGAAAGGGAAACGAUUAAAGUCAGUCGUACCUACGAGUAAUCAACCUACUCGAGUGCGAUUUUGUGGGUAUGUUAGAGCUUAAAAACCUUCAUGCUUACAAAUUGGUGCUCUUUGGGCGUACUUUCUCGUAUGGUAGGUUAACAUCAAUUUCGAUCGUUAUAAAAUGACUGGAGGAAUGUAGCUUCGAUCUCGGUUGAAGUGUUAUAGCCUUUGGUAGAUGUAAUGAUUGGGAUUGAGGAUUGCAACGGAUACCCUCUGGGCUAUUCGUCUGAUCUCUGGAACGUUACCUUGGUGUCG
rnacentral:rRNA from 1 species